GUGUGGAUCCGAAAUUUGUAGCAGCUGUGGAACCAUUGCUCUUGAGAAACAAGGUUGAUUUAGCAGUGUGGGGGCAUGUUCACAAUUACCUGCGAACUUGUGCUGUGUUUCAGGGCGCUGCCUGCAGCACCCGAUCAAGGAUUUAGCAGGCGUCGAUUUCUUUGACACUACAAUUUACUCAGCUCCAGUUCACACCGUGGUUGGCAUGGCUGAAUUCACCUUGGAUGACUUCCCUCAUAAUUUUAGUUCAUGGAGCUUGAUUCGAAGGUCGGCAUUUGGAUAUGCAAGAGUGACAGCUGAUAAGACAAAGCUACUGUUUGAGGUAGAUGAAUUGCGUUCUUGGUUCUUGCAUGUUACUUAUUUAUUUUUCAUUCCAGUACAUUACAACGGACGGACAGUAGCUGACCGAUUUAAAAUUGCCAGGCUAGAUUGGGGAUUUUCCAGGCCAUGAACGAUUUCAAGCUUUACAAGUUCAAUAG